rnacentral:rRNA from 1 species
ACGGGAGGCAGCAGUGGGGAAUAUUGGGCAAUGGGCGCAAGCCUGACCCAGCAACGCCGCGUGAAGGAAGAAGGCUUUCGGGUUGUAAACUUCUUUUAUCAGGGACGAUAAUGACGGUACCUGAUGAAUAAGCUCCGGCUAACUACGUGCCAGCAGCCGCGGUAAUACGUAGGGAGCAAGCGUUAUCCGGAUUUACUGGGUGUAAAGGGCGUGUAGGCGGGACUGCAAGUCAGAUGUGAAAACUCGGGGCUCAACCCCGAGCCUGCAUUUGAAACUGUAGUUCUUGAGUGGUGGAGAGGCAAAUGGAAUUCCUAGUGUAGCGGUGAAAUGCGUAGAUAUUAGGAAGAACACCAGUGGCGAAGGCGAUUUGCUGGACACUAACUGACGCUGAGGCGCGAAAGCGUGGGGAGCAAACAGGAUUAGAUACCCUGGUAGUCCACGCCGUAAACGAUGGAUACUAGGUGUGGGGGGUCUGACCCCCUCCGUGCC